rnacentral:rRNA from 1 species
AGUGAACGCUGGCGGUAGGCCUAACACAUGCAAGUCGAACGGCAGCACAGUAAGAGCUUGCUCUUACGGGUGGCGAGUGGCGGACGGGUGAGGAAUACAUCGGAAUCUACUUUUUCGUGGGGGAUAACGUAGGGAAACUUACGCUAAUACCGCAUACGACCUACGGGUGAAAGCAGGGGAUCUUCGGACCUUGCGCGAUUGAAUGAGCCGAUGUCGGAUUAGCUAGUUGGCGGGGUAAAGGCCCACCAAGGCGACGAUCCGUAGCUGGUCUGAGAGGAUGAGCAGCCACCCUGGAACUGAGACACGGUCCAGACUCCUACGGGAGGCAGCAGUGGGGAAUAUUGGACAAUGGGCGCAAGCCUGAUCCAGCCAUACCGCGUGGGUGAAGAAGGCCUUCGGGUUGUAAAGCCCUUUUGUUGGGAAAGAAAAGCAGCAGGUUAAUACCCCGCUGUUCUGACGGUACCCAAAGAAUAAGCACCGGCUACCUUCGU